UGGGGCUAUUCCCUGUUGGUCUUAAUAGCCAGCAAAGUCAGGUAUUAUGACACUUAUCUAGGUUGUACUGAAUUCAAAGGCUGCUUAUUGUGGCAUAGCUCUCCUGCUCAGGUAACCUCCUCCUCCAGGAAAAGCUUUGUACCUAAAGAUUGCUCCUGGCCAUGAAGUGCCAUGGCUAGAAUGUGUUUUUUUCCACAGCAGAAAGGGUUCAGAUAAGCGAACAUGAGCAAGCACAGGGAGGCCUUACAACCCAGGGCCUGAGUGGGGUUUCCAAGGAGAAAUGGUGCCGGAUUACAGACAAACAUGAAAGUCAACACCAGGACUGAAUUAUAUAUAUAGACAAAUUCCACGAGUCCUCAGACUCAGCAAAUAGGAAAAUUUAAACUAGCACAAUUGGAAAGAUAUCUUAAUGUAAGUGUGCCUAGACACCUCAAA
rnacentral:lncRNA from 1 species